rnacentral:lncRNA from 1 species
GGAGUGAUUAACUGUGUAUUGCCCCAUGCAUGUCCUUUCAAGAUGAGACUCAGAGGACAUGCAUUUCCUUUCGGCACCUGGCUUUUCUCUGCAUAUUGACGUAAAAGAGCCAACAUCAUCAUCUCUUAAAGGAAUUUUCAUCUCAAAUUCCUGAAAAGGUAAUUUACUUCUGAAAGACGGUGGAAAUUUCAGGGGUUCACACUGUAGUUCACUAGGAGGAAAGUAAGUGUGGCAAAGACUCACCCAUGUUUAGUGCAUUAGAAAGUCUCCCUUCGUGAGGCUAUGGUAACGAUUAUAAAUACACAAUUAAUGCUUGUAUCUUGAGAUAUCAGACAAGCAUAUAUACUUCACCAGUUUUGCUUGUGCCUUUAUCUUUGUCUGAAUACUUGUGCUUCUUCGUCUUGAAUUGAUCAUGACUCUAACUAACAUGGUUGGAGUAAGGUGCAGCUUCAAACUCCUCUAUGCAAUUGUGGUGCUGAUUUUACUACACAUGAACAAUCCUUGCAUUGGAUGCAGCGAGAGGGAAAGGCAAGCACUCCUUGCACUUAAACAAGGUCUCGUGGCUGACUACGGCGACCCCUUCCCUUCCUGGGGAAGAGAAGCCCAAAACAAAGAUUGCUGCGAAUGGGAUGGAGUCCACUGCAGCAACCAAACUGGCCAUGUUGUUAAGCUUGAACUCCAUGGUGUGCAAGGUAAGAUUAGUCCUAAACUCAUUGAGUUGCAGCAUUUGGAAUAUUUGGACCUUAGUGGGAAUAAUUUCAGUCGGAGCCAAAUUCCAGAUUUCAUUGGAAUCAGAGCAAUUUAAUAUACCUCGAUCUCUCUAUUGCAAAUUUUGGAGGUUUAAUUCCAUAUCAACUUGGAAACCUUAGAAACUUGCAUUAUCUCGAUCUUGGGUGUCGAU